AGCGCUAUCUCUUGACGUUAGCAACAGAAGAAGCACCGGCUAACUCCGUGCCAGCAGCCGCGGUAAUACGGAGGGUGCGAGCGUUAAUCGGAAUUACUGGGCGUAAAGCGCAUGCAGGUGGUUCAUUAAGUCAGAUGUGAAAGCCCGGGGCUCAACCUCGGAACUGCAUUUGAAACUGGUGAACUAGAGUACUGUAGAGGGGGGUAGAAUUUCAGGUGUAGCGGUGAAAUGCGUAGAGAUCUGAAGGAAUACCAGUGGCGAAGGCGGCCCCCUGGACAGAUACUGACACUCAGAUGCGAAAGCGUGGGGAGCAAACAGGAUUAGAUACCCUGGUAGUCCACGCCGUAAACGAUGUCUACUUGGAGGUUGUGGCCUUGAGCCGUGGCUUUCGGAGCUAACGCGUUAAGUAGACCGCCUGGGGAGUACGGUCGCAAGAUUAAAACUCAAAUGAAUUGACGGGGGCCCGCACAAGCGGUGGAGCAUGUGGUUUAAUUCGAUGCAACGCGAAGAACCUUACCUACUCUUGACAUCCAGAGAA
rnacentral:rRNA from 1 species